rnacentral:rRNA from 1 species
GAAUUCAACUCCUACGGGAGGCAGCAGUAGGGAAUCUUCCGCAAUGGACGCAAGUCUGACGGAGCAACGCCGCGUGAGUGAAGAAGGAUUUCGGUUCGUAAAACUCUGUUGUUAGAGAAGAACAGCGCAUAGAGUAACUGUUAUGCGUGUGACGGUAUCUAACCAGAAAGCCACGGCUAACUACGUGCCAGCAGCCGCGGUAAUACGUAGGUGGCAAGCGUUGUCCGGAUUUAUUGGGCGUAAAGCGAGCGCAGGCGGUCAAUUAAGUCUGAUGUGAAAGCCCCCGGCUCAACCGGGGAGGGUCAUUGGAAACUGGUUGACUUGAGUGCAGAAGAGGAGAGUGGAAUUCCAUGUGUAGCGGUGAAAUGCGUAGAUAUAUGGAGGAACACCAGUGGCGAAGGCGACUCUCUGGUCUGUAACUGACGCUGAGGCUCGAAAGCGUGGGUAGCAAACAGGAUUAGAAACCCUAGUAGUCCAGGCGUU